AUUUCUUUAUUUAUUAUAGUUCUGGAUGCUGGAAAGUCCAAGAUCUAUGGGCUGCAUCUGAUCAGGACCUUCUUGAUGGAAGAAACUCUGCAGAGUUCCAUGGAAGUGCAGAAAAGCACAUGGCAAGGGACUCUUCCCUGGUUAUCAAGUUUGUGAUUCAUCACAGGAAGUACAGCAGGACAAGUGGGAGAGGACCAUUGCAUAGACCUGUGUCUGAAAUCCUCUGAACAUGUAUCAUAAUGACUUGGACACAGUUGCAGAGCAUGUUUUUGUCACAAGAAGUCGUAGUUAUUUCUUCAAAAAGUAAAUUGAGGGGCUAGAGAUUUAGCUCAGUGGUGCCACCACCUGCCUCGCAAGCACAAGGUCCCGAAUUUGAUCCCAGGUACCAAAAAAGAAAAAGUAAAUUGAAGCUAAACUUGAGGCAAGGUCAAUUCUAGAACCCCAGACACCUGACUUCCAAUCAGGGCUCUAUUCCAUUAAACCCAGACUUCUGGGAAGAUGGCAGAGUGAUAACAAGCAACAAAUCAACCUCUCUAAGAUUCAGAAUCCAGACAUUGGAAAAUAACAACUUGAGGAACAAAAGAAGAAG